rnacentral:rRNA from 1 species
UACGAAGGGUGCAAGCGUUACUCGGAAUUACUGGGCGUAAAGCGUGCGUAGGCGGUUGGUUAAGUCUGAUGUGAAAUCCCCGGGCUCAACCUGGGAAUGGCAUUGGAAACUGGCCAGCUAGAGUACGGUAGAGGGUGGUGGAAUUCCCGGUGUAGCAGUGAAAUGCGUAGAGAUCGGGAGGAACAUCUGUGGCGAAGGCGGCCACCUGGACCAGUACUGACGCUGAUGCACGAAAGCUAGGGGAGCAAACAGG